rnacentral:antisense_RNA from 1 species
GCGAUCAGGAAGACCCUCGCGGAGAACCUGAAAGCACGACAUUGCUCACAUUGCUUCCAGUAUUACUUAG